ACAGUAGAAUGCUCUCAACCAAAAAACAAGACAUCCACACAAAUAAAGCAAAACUCCAUCUUUCAAAUAAAACAACUCUAGUUUCAUAUUUUAACUUCCAAUCUGAUAAUAUAAAGUUUGAAAAGUUGUAAAUAUGAAGAUAAUGAGAAGAUACAUGCCUUUUCAGAUACCGGUGAAGACAGAGACGGUGGUGUGCGGUGGAAGUUAGAACGACG
rnacentral:lncRNA from 1 species